UGGGGAAUAUUGCACAAUGGGCGCAAGCCUGAUGCAGCCAUGCCGCGUGUGUGAAGAAGGCCUUCGGGUUGUAAAGCACUUUCAGCGGGGAGGAAGGCGUUGAGGUUAAUAACCUUGGCGAUUGACGUUACCCGCAGAAGAAGCACCGGCUAACUCCGUGCCAGCAGCCGCGGUAAUACGGAGGGUGCAAGCGUUAAUCGGAAUUACUGGGCGUAAAGCGCACGCAGGCGGUCUGUCAAGUCGGAUGUGAAAUCCCCGGGCUCAACCUGGGAACUGCAUUCGAAACUGGCAGGCUAGAGUCUUGUAGAGGGGGGUAGAAUUCCAGGUGUAGCGGUGAAAUGCGUAGAGAUCUGGAGGAAUACCGGUGGCGAAGGCGGCCCCCUGGACAAAGACUGACGCUCAGGUGCGAAAGCGUGGGGAGCAAACAGG
rnacentral:rRNA from 1 species